rnacentral:rRNA from 1 species
GACGAACGCUGGCGGCGUGCCUAAUACAUGCAAGUAGAACGCUGAAGGAGGAGCUUGCUUCUCUGGAUGAGUUGCGAACGGGUGAGUAACGCGUAGGUAACCUGCCUGGUAGCGGGGGAGAACUAUUGGAAACGAUAGCUAAUACCGCAUAAUAGCAGCUGUCGCAUGACAUUUGCUUAAAAGGUGCAAUUGCAUCACUACUAGAUGGACCUGCGUUGUAUUAGCUAGUUGGUGAGGUAACGGCUCACCAAGGCAACGAUACAUAGCCGACCUGAGAGGGUGGUCGGCCACACUUGGACUGAGACACGGCCCAGACUCCUACGGGGGGGAGCAGUAGGGAAUCUUCAGCAAUGGACGGAAGUCUGACCGAGCAACGCCGCGUGAGUGGAGAAGGUUUUCGGAUCGUAAAGCUCUGUUGUAAGAGAAGAAAGAGAGUGAGAGUGGAAAGUUCACACUGUGACGGUAUCUUACCAGAAAGGGACGGCUAACUACGUG